AUUGAACGCUGGCGGCAUGCUUUACACAUGCAAGUCGAACGGUAACAGGCCGCAAGGUGCUGACGAGUGGCGAACGGGUGAGUAAUGCAUCGGAACGUGCCCAGUCGUGGGGGAUAACGCAGCGAAAGCUGCGCUAAUACCGCAUACGAUCUGUGGAUGAAAGCGGGGACCUUCGGGCCUCGCGCGAUUGGAGCGGCCGAUGUCAGAUUAGGUAGUUGGUGGGGUAAAGGCUCACCAAGCCGACGAUCUGUAGCUGGUCUGAGAGGACGACCAGCACACUGGGACUGAGACACGGCCCAGACUCCUACGGGAGGCAGCAGUGGGGAAUUUUGGACAAUGGGGGCAACCCUGAUCCAGCAAUGCCGCGUGCAGGAAGAAGGCCUCGGGUUGUAAACUGCUUUUUGUACGGAACGAAAAGGCUCUGGUUAAUACCUGGGGCUCAUGACGGUACCGUAAGAAUAAGCACCGGCUAACUACGUGCCAGCAGCCGCGGUAAUACGUAGGGUGCGAGCGUUAAUCGGAAUUACUGGGCGUAAAGCGUGCGCAGGCGGUGCUGUAAGACAGGCGUGAAAUCCCCGGGCUUAACCUGGGGAAUGGCGCUUGUGACUGCAGUGCUGGAGUGUGGCAGAGGGGAUGGAAUUCCGCGUGUAGCAGUGAAAUGCGUAGAUAUGCGGAGGAACACCGAUGGCGAAGGCAAUCCCCUGGGCCUGCACUGACGCUCAUGCACGAAAAGCGUGGGGGAGC
rnacentral:rRNA from 1 species